GUUUGUGGCCUCCGAACAAAACAACGUGAAUUUAAUUAUUGUGUUGUUUAUUCGUUGUGAAUUCGUUGUUUAACGUGCAAUUUUCACCGCUACAUUGGCUGGUUUUUGCACCGACUAUUAAGCCCCUAAACGGUAUUAAACACAAAUAAACACCUUCGGCAAUUGAACUCCUAAAGUUUCACAUUACAUUCAGUACCUCAUAAAAUUCGUUUCCAAACGAAAUUGAAGGUGAAAAUGUAUGAAAUAUAGACGGGGCUGCUUAAUAUGAUGAGGCAAAUAGUAAAUUUCCUGUUCUGCCUAUCAUUCUUUAUUGGUGUAAGGGGCAUUAGUGAGACCCCCCAUGAGACCUUCGGAAGGACAGGAAAUUGCGCCUCUAAUCAAUUCCAAUGUGCGUCUGGCCAAUGUAUUCCUUACACUUGGCACUGUGACACCCAUAGGGAUUGUGACGAUGGUUCGGACGAACCGGAAGGGUGCAUAAGUGACCAAACCCAGUGCAAACCGCAGCAGUUCCGAUGCGCUUUGACUAAGAAAUGUUUGCCCAACGGGUGGGUUUGUGAUGAGGAGCCCGACUGCGGGGUACACCCAGAACUAGGCCCCGACCUGUCAGACGAGGAACCGAAACACUGCAAACCGGUGCACUGCAGGUUCAACGAGGCCCCCUGUCCGGAGGCCUUCGAGUGCGCCCCCCUGGACACUUUCUGCGACGGUCACUUGGGCGAUUGUCCCGGUAACAGCGACGAGUGGGACUUUUGCCGUAACAAGUCGCUCAGUUGUGACCGCAUGCGGUGCAGUUACAAGUGCAAACCGACACCUCAAGGUCCUCAGUGCUACUGUCCCACGGGAAAACGUCCCGAGGGUACCGACUGCGUGGACGCCGACGAGUGCCAAUAUGACGAAACCUGCGCCCAAAUCUGCAAAAACGUGAUCGGGUCCUUUAAGUGCUCCUGCGUCUCCGGGUACCAGCAGAACGGUACCGAUUGCAUCGCUCAAAAUGUUCCAGAAACCGAACCGCCCUCACUAGUCUUCUCCACCCAAUCGGAGAUCAGGAGGGUCACCCUGGACGGCAAAGCGUGGCCAGGCAACUCCUCCUUACGCCUAUUAAACAAUAACGCCCUGGAGUUUAUACAUCGAAACCACACUUUGUGCUACAUCCACCACAAUUUGACCCAAGCGGGCAUCGUUUGCGCCAACAUUAACGACCUGAAUCAGCGAUGGCAGUUGCAGGUCCGAUCUCCGAUUUUGAAGGUGGAUUCGAUCCAGCAGCUCGCCUACGACUGGAUAUCGGAGAACUGGUACUUCCUGGAGGACGAGAAGGAGGCGAUCAUCUUGUGCAACAACGGGCUGAUGUGGUGCCACCUGGUGGUGGAAAACGACAUCGGGUAUCCGAGAUCGAUAGCUUUAGACCCGACCAGCGGUUUUAUGUUUUUCACCAAAUGGGGCCUGAGCGCCCCGAUGCUCGAGCGUUGCAACCUGGACGGCACCAACCGCAAGUCCAUUGUGGACGUCAAAAUCGUUUAUCCUUACGGCGUCACCGUGGACUUCCCCACCAGAACCAUCUACUGGGUGGACACUUACCUGGACUACGUCGAAAAGGUCGACUACGACGGGAAGAACCGGAAAACGGUGGCGAAAGGGGCGCACGUGCGUAACGCGUACGGAGUGUGCGUGUUCCAGAACAGGGUAUUCGUGUCUUCUUGGUACAACAACAGCCUGAUCGAGUUUAACCGGUUAGAGGCUACGGACGGCAAAGUGAUCGUGAGCAACAUCAGUAGGCCGUUUAACGUUUACGUGUUUCAUAGGCAGAGACAACCCGAAGUGGCCCACCCCUGUAAAACGGCCUCCUGCGACCACAUCUGCGUGCCCACGUGGUCCGCGACCGGCGUCGCGUUGAAAACGUGCAUCUGCGCAACCGGAUACACCUCGUUCGGCGACCGGUGCAUCAUCAAGACCCCCGACAUGUUCCUGCUACUGACCAGGAACAAACCGGACAGCAUCCGGGGCGUGGACCUGACUUCCGGCAAGGACGUGAUCGUACCGAUCUUAAACGCGGGCCGUCCGAUGUUCCUGGAAUUCGACCCUCGAAGCAAAUCGAUCAUUUACUCGAACACCCAAGAGAACAGCCUAAAUAGCGUGUUGAUCGAUUCCGUUAACUCUACGAAAACUCUCCUGGAGGGCGUGGCCACCGAUUGCCUCGCCCUAGACUGGACCACCGGCAACUUGUACUUCAAUAAUUGGCGAAAGGGGGCGCUGGGCGUCCUGAAACUGUCCGAUCCCGGCAGGUUUAAGACACUGUUCCAGACUAAUUCCACCAUGUAUAGGAAGUCGAUUGCCUUGGACCCCAUUAGAGGCCUACUAUUUUUCACCGACUGGAUCCACGAUAAAAGCAAAGGGGCGAUCUACGUGGCCUACAUGGACGGUACCGAGCAUCGAACGUUUUUGGACGAAAACGUGGUUCAUCCCGCCGGUUUGGUCGUGGAUUCAAAAAAUGCCCGAUUGUAUUGGAUGGACAAACAGGCGGACGGGGUUCUGUUGCAAAGCAUAGGAUUGGACGGGAAUAACAGGAAAACCGAAAUCGCCAAAGGCCUGGGUACGUUGAGCAACCAACUGGUAAUCGCCCCAGAUCGAACGCUGUACUUCGUGGAUCCGACCCACGGCACCGUUUUAAGCUACAAAAUCGGCGAAACCAGUGUCAAAACCGUUUUCGCAAGUAACGCCUCCAUUUGGGACAUCAAGAUCUACGAUACGACGCGCAAACAACCGGUUCCGGCCAACUGCAGCGCGUGCCCCGACUUGUGCCUGCGCACCGUCGACGGCAACCUGACCUGCGCCUGCUCGGACGGUCUGCGCGUGUCCGACGACCGAAAGAGCUGCGUGCACAUCGAGAACUACACGUCCGCGCAGCCUUUACACUGUCCCAAGGACGCGUUCCAGUGUCGUGACGAGAAACAGUGCGUCCCGAAGGAUUACGUGUGCGACGGGGCGGAUAAUUGCGCGGACAAAUCCGACGAGAGCGCCGAACCGGGGGGACCCUGUGAGAAUGUGAAAUGCGGCGAGCAUCAGGUGAAGUGCGACAAUACGUCUUGUAUAGCUCGCCAUUGGCUGUGCGACGGCGAAAAAGACUGUCUGGACGGUACCGACGAGGACCCGAGGCACUGCGCCUCGGUCUGCCUCGAGAACCAGUUCAGGUGCGAGAAUUCGCGCAGGUGCAUCCCGCUGGUGUGGAGGUGCGACCACGUGCCCGAUUGCGGACCGAACGACGACACCGACGAGCUGAAUUGUAACAUCAGCAGUUGCGCCGUCAACGAGUUCACUUGCAAGGACGGCAGCUGUAUAUCGAUGAACUUCUACUGCGACUCGAUCAAAGAUUGCAAAGACGGCUCCGACGAGGUGGAUUGCGUCCAAUGCGACCCUAAAAAGGAGAUCGUGUGUCAACCGAAGGGCGAAUGUUUGCCCAACUAUUUACGUUGUAACAACAACCUGGACUGCCCCGACGGCUCGGACGAGCGUGACUGCGAGAAAAAGUACUGCGAACCCAACGAGUUCGCAUGCGGGAACUUCGAUUGUAUCCCAAAGAUGUUCCUUUGCGAUUCCGACCUGGACUGCAUCGACGGGUCCGACGAAAUGAACUGCGACGCCUCGAAAAUCCACAAUUCGACGGAGAUCAAUAAGAAAAUCGAUUGUUUGCCCCCAAAUAGGGCCUGUGAUAACGACACCAAGUGCAUCACCCCGUCGCAGAUGUGCGAUAACAGGAGGCACUGCGCGGACGGCACCGACGAGGGCAAAAACUGCUCCGGGGACACCACUAACGCCACGACGAUCGCGCAGACCUGCGUAUACCCCAACAGGUUAUGCGACAACGACACGAAAUGCGUGGACGUGCACCGGUUGUGCGACAAACGCGCGGACUGCGCGGACGGCGCGGACGAGGGUGCGCGUUGCGCGGACCAGAUGUGCGAGCACAGCUUCAUCUGUUCGCAUUUGUGCUUUAACGCGCCGGAGGGCGUGGUCUGUGAUUGUCCGCCCGAUUUGCACUUGCAGGCCGACAGGACGCAUUGUCUGGCCACACACCCGUGCGAGGCGUGGGGCGUCUGCUCCCAAAAGUGCAUCCCGCGGGGCUCCCGCUUCAAGUGCGCAUGUCUCGAGGGCUUCGCUCUUCAAGAGGACGGAUUCACGUGCAAAAGCGCGGACGAGGGUCGUCCCUUCAUCAUCUUCUCCAACAGACACGAGUUGCGCGGGGUCGACUUGCACACUUUCAACCACAAGUCGUUCAUUUCCAGCCUAAAGAACACCAUCACCCUGGACUUCUACCACUUCAACGACACCGACAUGAUUUUCUGGACCGACAUCGUCGACGACAAAAUCUACCGCGGCACAAUCGGCGGCGGUUCCCUCGGGAACAUCGAGGUGGUGGUGAACGCGGGUUUAUCCACCGCCGAGGGAUUAGCGGUCGACUGGAUCGGGCAGAACCUCUACUGGGUCGAGAGUAACCUGGACCAAAUCGAGGUGGCCAAGUUGAACGGGAGUUUUCGCAGGACGCUGGUGGUGGGCGAGAUGGAGAGCCCGAGGGCGAUCGCGGUCGAUCCCCGGGACGGUUUCCUGUUCUGGACCGACUGGGAUAGCGCGGCCCCGAGGAUCGAACGGUGCUCGUUGGCCGGACUCGAUCGACGGGUGGUGGUCAGGGUCGAUCAGUUCGUUAAGGGCGGAUGGCCCAACGGGUUGACCCUGGAUUACACCAUGAGGAGAAUCUACUGGGCGGACGCCCGUUCCGACUCGAUCCACACCAGCGACUACAACGGAAACGACCACCACGAAGUGAUCAGCAACCAGGAAUUCUUGUCGCACCCGUUCGCCAUUUCGUUAUUCGAAAAUUACGUUUAUUGGACCGACUGGCGCACCAACAGCGUCAUGAGGGCCAACAAGUGGACCGGGGGCGACGUCAAAGUCAUCCAGCGCACCCUCACUCAACCGUUCGACAUUAAGAUAAUGCACCCCAGUAGACAACCGGCUGGUAAAAACCCGUGCGGGAACGAUAAUGGCGGCUGUUCCCAUCUUUGUUUGAUACAUUUGAAUGGGACGUACAAGUGCGAUUGUCCUCACAUUUCCAGACUUAGCGAGGACAACAAAACGUGCGUGAACAACGAGCAAGUGCUCCUAAUAGCCCGUAACGGCGAAAUCCGCGGGGUGGACAUCGCCCAGCCCUACUAUCACACCAUCCCGACCAUAAGCGUGCCACAAGUGCUAAACCCGGUGCAACUGGACUAUUUCGCCCGUAAUAAGACGCUUUAUUGGGCGGAUUCGCAGGUGGACCACAUUAAGAUGUCGAACAUCACGCACGGACCAGUUCGCACGCUGAUCGACACCGGGUUGAGGCAAGUUUCCGGGAUCGCCCUCGAUUGGAUCUCGAACCUGCUGUUUGUCAGUUCUGAGGGUGGGAUCGUUUUAUCAAACCUGAACGGCGAAUACAGCACCGUGCUGCUGGAAAACGAGAAAAUCCACUCGGUAGCUGCGCAUCCGGCGGAAGGAAAACUAUUCUGGAUCCGUGGAGUGAACGAGACAGAAGCGCACCUGGAAAGCAGCGGAAUGGACGGAUCCGACAGGAAAACGUUGGUGCCCAAUCUGGAUUUCCAUUCGGGCAGUUUACUGGUGGACGCACCCGCUCAGAAGCUCUACUGGAUCAGCAAAUCCGAAAUAAUGCACUGCAACCUGAACGGCACCGACGUAACGAAACUGCGCCUGCGCAACAAAGUCUCCGUCACCGCCUUCGUGAUUUACAAGGAUCGCCUGUUCUACGCAGACGAGGAGGACGAGUCGAUUUACUCCGUCGAUAAAACGGAAGUGGCGCCGGAAGUGACGCUCCUAAGAAACGGCACCGGGGGCGUUUUGAGUCUGAAAAUCUACGAUUCGAGCGCCCAAGUCGGCGCCCACCCCUGCCAAACCGAAAACGGACGCUGCGAGCAUCUUUGCGUGCCGAGUGGGCGCAUUUCGUACGUCUGCAAAUGCGCCAUCGGUUAUAAAGUGGACCCGGGAAACACCGACAAGUGUCUGGGGAUCGAGGAUUUUAUUUUUUAUUCGUUGAAUUGGGAGCUGCACGGGAUUCCCCUGAAUGGGUCGAAGGAUUUCAAGGUCUUAGGGCCUAUUUCCAAGAUUUCUUCUGCUCCCAGCAUAGACUUCUUGGCCGAGGAGGAUUUGCUGAUUUGGGCAAAUAUUGAGCACGGACAGAUUACGCAAAUGAGGCGGGAUGGUACCAAACGUUCCAACAUCCUGGACCAGGGAGAGAUCCUGGAAAGUCCGUCGGAGGACUGGCUCUCCUGCUUGGCGGUCGACUGGAUCGCGAGGAACGUUUACUGGUGCGACUCGAAACGUGGUACCGUCAGCGUGGCACGACUGGACGGUACCCAGGAGCACGUGAUCCUGUCCAACGACACCCUCAAACCGAGCGCGAUCGCCUUGGACCCCGCCAGGGGGCUCUUGGUGUUGGCCACCCAAAAUAAAUUGGAAAUUGCGACUUUGGACGGUCGAAACCGACGCACCCUACUGGCCAAACCGAAGAAGUUCGCCGAUAUCGCUCUGGACACGAAGAAUGAGUUGAUUUACUUCUGCGAUUUAGUGGGUUCGACCAUCGAAAGGAUUAAAUACGACGGAGGUAACCAUUCGGUGAUUAUGACUAAUACCACCCUGCAUAAACCGGUCAGCCUGACGAUAUUCGAGGACACCCUGUACUGGCUGGACGCGACCAAAGAUGGCGGCUCGAUCGCCAAAGUUCCCCUGACGAAUUUCUCGGACGUUACGGUCUUGGAGGCAGGAUUGGGAGACUCGCUCAGCGACAUCCAGAUUUAUUCACGGAAAAAACAAAGUGGAGAAAACCCGUGCGGCAAAAACAACGGAGGCUGCGAGCAGUUGUGCCUGUACAACGGCACCCACGCUCAAUGCGUCUGUUCGCACGGCAUGUUAGACACGAAAAACGGGAAAAGUUGCAUCCCGUACGACAGUUUCAUCAUGUUCUCGAAAGUGGUCAGUCUGGACUCGAUCUUCAUGUUGGGCGAGAAGAAUCUGAUGAACUCGCCGUAUCCCAGUAUCAAGAACAGCAGCUUUUUGAAGAACGCCAUCGGUCUCAGCUUCAGCUACAGACACAAGAGACUGUUCUACUCGGACAUACAGCGGGGCUCGAUAAAUGCGGUUUUCUUCAACGGGUCCGACCAUCGGAUCAUCGUGGACCAACAGGGGGCGGUCGAGGGCUUAGCCUACGAACAAGUCGGCCACGCCCUCUAUUGGACUUGUAACAACGUUGCCACGAUUAAUCGCGUUAAUUUGACGGAGUCUCUGACUAACGCCUCGCAAGUGGAGAGUAUCGUGAGGUUGAGACCUCAAGACAAACCCCGAGGUAUAGCGGUGGAUUCUUGUGGGCAGACGGUGUUUUGGACCAACUGGAACCCCCAUCAGCCGACCAUCGAGAGGGCCUUUCUUAAUGGGUACAACAGACAAGCGAUAAUCUCGACCGACAUCAGGAUGCCCAAUGGGAUCACGUUGGACCAUAAGGCGCAAAAGUUGUACUGGGGCGACGCGCGAUUGGACAAAAUCGAGCGGUGCGAGUACGACGGUACCAAGAGGGUCGUGUUGGCCAAAGUGACGCCCCAACACCCGUUCGCGCUCGCUGUUUACGGCGAUUUCAUUUAUUGGACCGAUUGGAUCUUGCACGCGGUCAUCAGGGCGGAUAAAUAUACCGGACAGUUUUUCGUCUCCUUAAGGGGGGACAUUGUCAGGCCAAUGGGUAUAGUGGCGGUGGCGAAUGAUACCGAAGACUGUUUCUCCAACCCCUGUCUAAUAAACAACGGGGGAUGCGAGGAGUACUGCGAACUAUCGGCCAAUGGGAAACCGGAAUGUGUCUGCAUGCACGGAAGAAUUUUAAGUGAGGACGGCAGGUGCUUCGCUCCGACCACUGUGGAGUGUAAUAACGCAGAAAAUAGCUUCCGGUGCUCGGACGGCGGCUGCGUCCCCUUCCACCUGACCUGCGACGGUCUGGCGCACUGCGCGGACGCCUCCGACGAGGAGGGCGGCUACUGCGGCUAUCGCACUUGUCCCCUGGGCUGGACGAAGUGCGCGAACAAACGGUGCGUGCCGUCGAACGCGACCUGCGACGGCGUCGACGACUGCGGCGACUCCACCGACGAGUUGAACUGCGCGUGCCCGGAGGACGGCUACUUCCGGUGCGCGAACGGCGAGUGCGUUCUUUUAGCGGUCCGAUGCGACAUGGACCCCGACUGUAAGGACAACUCGGACGAGUUGGGAUGCGAGAUGCCGAACUGUACCGCGUUGCAUAACGAGCAUUUUUUGAAUUGUAACUUUACCACGAAUUGCAUCAACAAGGACUGGUUCUGUGACGGGGAGGACGAUUGCUGGGAUAAUUCCGACGAAAUUGGGUGUCCAAAAAUAGCGAAGCACUGCGACGCGCCCGGCCAGUUCCAGUGUUACAACGGCCAAUGCAUCGAGGCACGAUUACGUUGUGACAAAAAAACCGAUUGCCAGGACGGUUCCGACGAGAUCCAGUGCUCCGCCCCGAUUUCCUGCCCCCCGGACAGUUUCAAGUGCAUCAGCGACGGCAACUGCGUGCCGAAGGGGUGGAAGUGCAACGGGGUGCAGGACUGUCACGACGGCAGCGACGAACUCGACUGUACCGUUCAGUGCCGAAGCGACAAGUUCCAAUGCAAAAGCGGCAAUUGCAUCCCGAAAUCGUGGCAGUGCGACGGCAACCCCGACUGUCCCGACGGCAGCGACGAAACCGAGCACUGCAGCCAUACGGAGUGUACCAAACAAGAAUAUCGUUGCAACUCGACAGGACGAUGCAUACCGAAAGUGUGGGUCUGCGAUGGCGAACGGGACUGCGACAACGGCCAGGACGAGGAUCCGUUGGUCGAGUGCAAAAAUGCGAGUUCGAUCGUCUGCACCACCCACCAGUUCCGCUGUAACAACACCCAGUGCAUUAGUAAAGCGUAUUUUUGCGAUGGGGAUAAGGAUUGUUUCGACGGAUCGGACGAACCUGACCACUGCUACCGCACCUGUUCGGCUGGAGAGUUCAGGUGCGAAAAUAAAAAGUGCAUCUUGGAAUUGCACAGGUGCGACGGCAAAGACGAUUGCGGAGACGCGAGCGACGAGGACAAAUGCCACUCGGAGGAGUACUGUCAAAGCAAAGGCUGGUUCCACUGCUUAAACGGCGUCUGCAUCAACGACACCCUCGUGUGCAACGGCGAGAAUAAUUGCGGCGACUUCUCGGACGAGUCGCGUUGUUUCAUCAACGAGUGCACCGCGGUACCGCCGGUCUGCGACCAGAUUUGCGUCGACAAACCGGUCGGGUACGAGUGCCGUUGCCACCCGGGGUACCGGGUGUCCACGAAGAAGCGACGCCACUGCGAGGACGUGGACGAAUGCCUGGACAGGCCGUGCAGUCAGAACUGCAUCAAUACGAGGGGGUCGUACCGGUGCGGGUGUAACGAGAACUACGUGUUAGACGGGGGCAGUUGUAAGGUGAAUUCUAGCGUGCAGGCACGGCUGUUGCUUGCUAACAGAUACUACAUCCGAGAGAUCGACCUAUUGGGCAACUCGAACCUGAUCGCGCACAAUUUAAGUAACGCGGUCGCCCUGGACUACGACUGGGCCACCCAAACCAUUUACUGGUCGGACGUGACCCAGUUGGGCAGCACGAUAAAACGCCUGGUCAAUUACAGGGAGGAAUCGACCUCUGACCGGUCCGAACUCCUCCAUUCCUCCACCCUCCAAAAUCCCGACGGUUUAGCAGUCGAUUGGGUGGGGAGGAAUUUGUACUGGUGCGACAAGGGAACCGACACCAUCGAGGUGUCCACUUUGGAGGGAAAACAUCGAAGGAUUUUACACUCGAAGGCCUUGGAGGAGCCGAGGGCGAUCGCUUUGGAUCCCAUCAAUAAGUUUAUGUACUGGACCGAUUGGGGGUCGAGGGUGCACAUCGGUAAGUCUGGUAUGGACGGUUCGAACCCAAAAGUGAUCGUGAACAAGAACCUGGGUUGGCCGAACGCUUUGACCAUUUCCUAUGAGACCAAUGAGAUAUUUUGGUCAGACGCUAGGGAGGACUAUAUCGCUGUAUCCGACUAUGAAGGAAACAACAUAAAAAUAAUCGCUAGCAGAGACAAGAACCCGAAAUUGCAGCUGCACCACGUAUUCGCCGUCGACGUAUGGGAGGACUUCAUCUACUGGACCGACUGGGAAACGAAGACCAUCGAGAGGUGUCACAAAUACACGGGAAUGAAUUGCACCUCGAUCAUUUCUACUGUGCAUCGGCCCAUGGACGUUCGGGUGGUGCAUCCGUUAAGACAACCGAAGGUCGAGGAUAACCCGUGCGCACACGCCAAAUGUUCCGCCCUUUGUCUGUUGUCGCCGAAGGCGCCCUAUUAUGUCUGCCAGUGUCCGGAGAAUUACGUUUUGGGUAAGGACGGUUACUCUUGUGAGGCGAACUGCACCUCCUCGCAUUUCGAGUGCAAAACGACCUACAAGUGCAUACCGUUCUGGUGGAAGUGCGACACGCAGGACGAUUGCGGAGAUGGUAGCGACGAACCGGAUGACUGUCCCGUGUUCAAGUGCCUUCCUGGGCAGUACCAGUGCGCGAACGGUCAGUGCAUCCAUCCCGGCGACUUGUGCAACGGCGUCGACAACUGUCUCGACAAUUCCGACGAGCGGGACUGCGACGGAUACACCUGCUUGAACACCCAAUUCAGAUGCGACGGAAACGCGACCGUGGCGCCCCGUUGCAUCCCGUCGGCGCAACGUUGCAACAAGAUCACGAACUGUCCCCUGGCGGAGGACGAGGCGAACUGUCCGCCGGUCACGUGUCCCCCCAAUCAGUUCAAAUGCGCGAACGACAAGUGCGUGCCCUCCGUGUGGGUGUGCGACAACGACAACGACUGCGGCGACGGUUCGGACGAGAUGCAGGAGUGUCAGGAGCGCACGUGCGGACCGAUGGACUUCCGGUGCAAUUCCGGCAGGUGUAUCCCGCUCUCGUGGAAAUGCGACGGCGACCCGGACUGUCUGGACCAGGAAGACGAGGAUCCGACCUGUAGCCAGACGGAGUUCCACACGUGCGAACCGACCUACUUCCGGUGCAAAAACAACAAAUGCAUCCCCGGCAGGUGGCGCUGCGACUACGAGAGCGACUGCGGCGACGACUCGGACGAAAUCGACUGCGUCCCUCGCAACUGUUCGGAAUCCGAGUUCAGGUGCGGAAACGGGAAGUGCAUCAGGGGCGCGAUGAAGUGCGACGGCGAGUACCAGUGCGAGGACCGCUCGGACGAGCGCGGUUGCCGCACCGAGUGCAAACAGAACGAGUUCCGGUGCGAGAACCCGGAGAUGUGCAUCUUCAAGGAGUGGAGGUGCGACGGCGAGAUCGACUGUCCCGACGGCUCGGACGAGUUCGGCUGCACCAACGCCACCUCGUGUCCGGCGAACGGGUUCCGGUGCCGGAACGGCGUCUGCGUCGCGUCCGAUUGGCAGUGCGACGGUCAGAACGACUGCGACGACGGAUCCGACGAGGUCGGAUGUUUCUCGUACGCGUGUCCGCCCGGCAGGUUUAAAUGCAAAAACUAUCGGUGCACCCCGAUUAGUACCUUGUGCGACGGGGUGAGUCAGUGUGGAGACGGCAGCGACGAGGACAGACACAUUUGCAAAAGGUACGGAAAGUGCCCGUACGGUCAAUUCACUUGCAAGAACAAUCGGUGCAUAGCGAACGAGUCCCGUUGCAAUUCAAUGAACGAUUGCGGAGACGACAGCGACGAGUUGGACUGCGAUUCGUCCGCAUGCAAGUGGAACACCUGCUCGCAGAUCUGUAUUGAGUCAAGAGUGAAUCACACCCACUGCAAAUGCGUCGACGGAUACCGACUUACGGGUCGAAACGGGCAGUGCCAGGCGGAAGGGAAAAUGGCCGAACUGAUUUUGGCCACAGAGGCGGAACUGAGGCUGAUUUCGCCCUAUAAAAUGGGCGAUAUUAAUAAGAGUAAGAAAACCCAACCGAUCGCACCAGGAUAUAAGAUCGAUUCGGUGGACGUCCUGUACAGCAAGAAACAAGUGGAGGCCUACUGGACCGACUAUCAAAACAAACGCAUCCAGGCGAUGACCGUGCAACUGAACGAAGAGAAACGGACCAACAGGGACGCCGAAAUCGCCAGGACCGUACUGGGGAACCUGCGUGGUCCCAGGGGAAUCGCCCUGGAUUGGGUCGCGGGGCGGAUCUACGUGACCGACACGUCCAGGAUUUUGGUGGCCGACAUCGAGGGAAAAUUCAAUUUCACCCUUUCGAGCGGGAACAUGCAGAACCCGCGGGAUGUGGUGGUCGACCCGGAGGCGGGGUACGUCUUUUGGGCCGAUUGGGGACCGGUGCCGAGGAUCGAGAGGGCCAACAUGGACGGGCUGAACCGGAAAACGCUGGUGCAAAACCUCCUGUGGCCGACCAGUUUGACGAUCGAUUACCCGACGAAACGGCUCUACUGGUGCGACCCGAAGGCCUCCACGAUCGAAUCGAUCAACUUCGACGGUUCCGGUCGCAAUUUGAUCAAACACUUCGACAACUCGACCGACAUACGCCCCUACAAGAUCGAACUGUUCGAGGACAACCUGUACGUCACCACUUACCGCAAACACGACGUCGUCCGCCUAAAUAAAUUCGGCACAGGCGAGACGACUUACCUCGCGCACGGACUUACGCGCAUCUCCGACUUACUGAUAGUCCAGGAGCACAAGCGGCCAAAAGUGAAGAACUUGUGCAAGGAUUUCUGCAGUAACAACGAGUUUUGUCUGUUGACGCCUAAAAGUCCGCGGUGCGUCUGCGCCGACGGGUUUGUCAACGAUAAUUUGACGUGUAGGGCGGUGGCGCCGCCUAGUGUCGUCUGUCCGCUCGAUUGUAACGUCGGCAAGUGUAAAGUGGAGGGGGAUAAGGGGCCGUACUGCGCGUGUCCGCCUCUGUAUAGCGGCGACCGGUGUCAGACGUAUCGGUGCUCGCAGCAUUGCAAAAACGGGGGGAUUUGCGUGUUGGACAAGUGGAAUGCUACGGCUGACGAUGCUGAUGAGAAGCCGCCGUUGAAGUGCAUCUGCCACCCGCACUGGUACGGCAAACGGUGCGAGAAGCGGUUGCCGCUCUGCAAGGACUUCUGCGAGAACGGCGGCAGUUGCACGCUGUUCGUCGGUCUGCCGCACUGCACCUGCCGCGACGGGUUCACCGGGUACCGGUGCCAGCACUGCACCAACUUCGAUUGCGGCAACGGCGGCAAGUGUUCGGUCGAAAACGGCCUGCAGACCUGCACAUGCUCCCAAGGCUACAGCGGCGCCCACUGCGAAACCUCCGUGUGCGGCCCGCACGGGCAGGUGCUCGCCUUCUCGCGGAACGCGAUCAAGUGCGACUGCCACGCGGGAUUCACCGGCGACCGCUGCCAGACCGACCGCUGCGCCAACUUGUGCCGCAACGGCGCCACCUGCGUCCCCUCCACCCUGCGCUGCGUCUGCGCGCCCGGCUUCACGGGCGCGCGCUGCGAUCAGCCGUUGUGCGCGCGCUGUUGCCAGAACGGCGGCGCGCAGGUGGCGGUGCGCAGCGGCCGCGUGUGCAACUGCACCGCCCGUUGGGGCGGCGAGUUCUGCGAGGUUUAUUUGGGGAACGACAGUCCGUGCGGGGGCGGCUACUGUCGAAACGGCGGCGUGUGUCAAGUGUUGGCGGUCGGUGACGUGCCGAGUUGCCGCUGCGUCGAAGGGUGGGGCGGCGAGAGGUGCGAUCGCAAGGGGGGGCUGUGCGAGGCGGUUUAUUGUCUGAACGGGGGCAGUUGUGAGGUGGUCGGGGGUCGGGCGAGGUGUAGAUGCCCCGACGGGUUCGAGGGGGAGGCUUGCGCGGAGGAGGCGGUUAAGGAGGAGGCUGGAGGCGGCACGGGCGGGAGCUCGGUGGAGGUGUCGGUCGCCGUCGUUUUAACCGUGGCCGCCCUUUUGUUGAUCGUCUGCAUCUGCUGGAACAAGGGGAGGUACGAGGUGUUGCAUCAGAGACUGGAGGAGAACGACUUUAACAAUCCGACGUACCAAGAGAGGGACGCGGAGCCCUUCAGUUUGGAGCGGGUGGACGAGGGGGCGGAUCACGGGGUGAACUUCGGCAACCCCGUGUACGAGUCGGUGUACAACGGGGGCGGCGGGAGCGGCAUCAGGGAGGAGAAGGCGAAUCUGUUGGAGCACAGCGUGGAGGAGCCGCCCCCGCCCCCGGAGGGGCUCUAGACAAACACAAAUCAAAACUCCUAAAGAUCCUACGGAAACUGCACCGUUUAUCUUCGCACGAGGAAAGAAUGAAACUCGAUUAUCGAACAAUUGCGGCAAAAAAACGAAAAGUCAUGAAGGGUCAGUGCGGCGGUACCACAGGAACCCAACGAUAAACUAGAACACCGAGUGUCCACCGAACUGGGUCGAAUUUUGGACGAUCUAAAUGCCAUUUUGAACGGCAAAUUUAAGGUCACUAGAAGGUCGACACAAGGUGAGAGGUUCGAAGAAAAAUUGG
rnacentral:misc_RNA from 1 species